rnacentral:rRNA from 1 species
AAACGCUUGAAGUCAGUCGCGUUGCCUGGGGAUCAACCUUACUUUUGUUGGGUGUACUUUCCAGGUGACGGGUCAGCAUCAAUUUUGACCGUUGGAUAAAGUGUAGAGAAAUGUGGCAUCUUCGGGUGUGUUAUAGUCUUUGCUCGUAUACAACGGUUGGGAUUGAGGAACUCAGUACGCCGCAAGGCCGGGAUUUAUCCACGUUCGUACUUAGGAUGCUGGCAUAAUGGCUUUAAUCGA